rnacentral:rRNA from 1 species
GACGAACGCUGGCGGCGUGCCUAAUACAUGCAAGUAGAACGCUGAAGGAGGAGCUUGCUUCUCCGGAUGAGUUGCGAACGGGUGAGUAACGCGUAGGUAACCUGCCUGGUAGCGGGGGAUAACUAUUGGAAACGAUAGCUAAUACCGCAUAAGAGUAGAUGUUGCAUGACAUUUGCUUAAAAGGUGCAAUUGCAUCACUACCAGAUGGACCUGCGUUGUAUUAGCUAGUUGGUGAGGUAACGGCUCACCAAGGCGACGAUACAUAGCCGACCUGAGAGGGUGAUCGGCCACACUGGAACUGAGACACGGCCCAGACUCCUACGGGAGGCAGCAGUAGGGAAUCUUCGGCAAUGGGCGGAAGUCUGACCGAGCAACGCCGCGUGAGUGAAGAAGGUUUUCGGAUCGUAAAGCUCUUUUGUAAGGGAAGAACGAGUGUGAGAGUGGAAAGUUCCUACUGGAAGGGUAUCUUACAAGAAAGGGACGCCUAACUACGU